rnacentral:tRNA from 1 species
AAUUAUAUAGUUUAAAAAACAUUACAUUUUCAUUGUAAAAUUAAGGUCUUCCUCCCCUUUAUAAUUA